rnacentral:rRNA from 1 species
GACGCAGCGCAAGAGAGAGCUCCUAGGGCUCAAGCGCGCAGCAGGCACGCGCGGAUUCUACGAUCUCGACAAGAUGUCGCUCACAGAGGUUGAGGAGGAGAUCAGGAAGAUCCAGGAUGUGGGGGGAGUGCCAAGCAGCAAACCCGCGCCCAGGAAGGAGGAGGCUAAGUCACGUGCGAGCAACCCCG